UGAGUAAGCCAGAUAGCCGCGUAUUUAUACGAGGAAAGUCCGGGCUCCAUAGGGCAAGGGUGCUGGAUAAUACCCAGUGGGGGCGACCCCAAGGACAGUGCAACAGAAAUAAACCGCCUGGCUUUAGCUAGGUAAGGAUGGAAAGGUAAGGUAAGGGCUUACCGGCUUUUUGGCGACAAAAAGCGCUAUGUAAACCCCACCCGGUGCAAGGCUAAUAAAACCGUUAAGGCUGCCCGCCGUGGUUUGUGAAUGCCGCGUGAGUUUAUUGGCAACAAUAAACCAAGAUAGAUGGCUAUCGAAUACAGAACCCGGCUUAUAGGCUUGCUCAAAUU
rnacentral:RNase_P_RNA from 1 species